rnacentral:rRNA from 1 species
UGGGGAAUAUUGCACAAUGGGCGAAAGCCUGAUGCAGCAACGCCGCGUGAGUGAUGAAGGCCUUCGGGUUGUAAAGCUCUGUCUUUUGGGACGAUAAUGACGGUACCAAAGGAGGAAGCCACGGCUAACUACGUGCCAGCAGCCGCGGUAAUACGUAGGUGGCAAGCGUUGUCCGGAUUUACUGGGCGUAAAGGAUGCGUAGGCGGAUUUUUAAGUGAGAUGUGAAAACCCUAAGCUUAACUUGGGGACUGCAUUUCAUACUGGAAAUCUAGAGUGCGGGAGAGGAGAAUGGAAUUCCUAGUGUAGCGGUGAAAUGCGUAGAGAUUAGGAAGAACACCAGUGGCGAAGGCGAUUCUCUGGACCGUAACUGACGCUGAGGCAUGAAAGCGUGGGUAGCAAACAGGAUUAGAUACCCUGGUAGUCCACGCCGUAAACGAUGAGUACUAGGUGUAGGAGGUAUCGACCCCUUCUGUGCCGCAGUUAACACAAUAAGUACUCCGCCUGGGAAGUACGAUCGCAAGAUUAAAACUCAAAGGAAUUGACGGGGGUCAUAGUGUUUU